AAUCAGAAAAGUUAGAGAGAAGAAGAAGUGAAAAAGAGAGAGAGUGAGAGAAAAAAAAGAUAGGAACCACUGCAUGCUGCCACCAGGAGUCCUCGCCGGAGCCACCGCACGCCAGGACAUCGUCAAGCUCGUCAUCACCAUCAACCUCAGCUGAGAAUCGUCGGAAACCGCCGCCUCUUAAGCUUUGUUUUCGUCCGUUCAGUAUAUCGGCCAUAUCUUCUUAACCGUUGAGAAUCUCGCGCAUGCAGAGCCACCAUCGUGUUCCUCUCGUCGAGACGAAGCCGUAGCCACCGACCACGCCGCAAUCGGAGUCCGGACGAAGCCGCUAGAGCCUCCGGAAGUUUCGCCUCUGUGCGCGCGUGAGUUAUACGCGCCGCCGCCGGAAAUCGUCUCUGCCGCCAGACCACCGCCUCACCACCACCGGAACGCCGUCGCUGUCGCCGUGCUCCGCCUUCUGUCACCGCCGUCGUCCGCCGUCACCACCGGUAAGCCAUCGCCGUCGCCGUCGGUGACCGUCGCCGGUGACUCGCCGACGACUCGCCAACUCGGCUGAGUCGACCCGGUGAGUCAACUCGGUUGACUCGGUUAACCGCUGGUUUGACUGGUUUGACCGGUUUGGUUUCGGUUAGGGUAAACCGGUCGGUUAGGACAAAUUGAUUUCUGGUCAAGGGUUGACCGGAUUGACCUUUGACCAUCGAAUUGACUUUUCCAUAAACCUUGACCAGACCCGUUUUAAACCGUUCGAAAGGUGUUCUGACUCGAUUUUUCGCCCUGAUUUCAGAUUUGGAGUCUAUUUGAGCAUCUGGAGUUCAUAGAUACCACAUUUCCCUAUUGCUAAGGUGAGGGCUACUCCGUUAAAUCCCGAGCUAGUUUAGUACUACCAUUAUGGAAAGUUUAGUUUCGAAACAUGAUCCGUCUCUGUGAAUCGAGUCUGUUUGAGAGUCUUGCUUGUUCAUUAUUGAUAUUGAUUGUUAACCGGAAUUAGGAUAAUAGAGGAUUCAACGAUUGUGUGAAAUGAUUGAUGCUAAGAACUGCUAUAUAUAUGUAUAUACAUAGUUAUGAGUAGGGAUUAUGUGAUGAGGGCGUGAGUUCAGAGAUGUCUGAGCUUCGACGCUACGGUAUGGUAUGGGCGUGAGUUCAGAGACGUUUGAGCUUCGACGCUACUGUUUGGGGCGUGGUGCAGAGACGUUUGCAUUUGACGCUACGAUGGGCGGGGGUACAGAGACAGACUGUACUAGCGACGCUUCGAGUAUAUGUAUAUAUCCUUAUGAGGAGAUGCGUGGUGCAUAGAGUAGCUAUGUACUAUAAGCGCAUGAGUUGUAACGGCUAGUCCUCUAGCCGCAUAUUGAUUGUUCUGUGGGGUGUAAUAGGCACCGUGUUUGUUUCAUGCUAGAGCUAUGCCUACAUUUUAGUAGUGCUAUGAACUCAGUCUGUGGUUUGCGGUUUAGCAUCCCAUACCUCGCUGGGCAACUCCCCUGUUGCUCACCCCUCCUUCUUUUCCCCUUUCAGGUGAGACCGACGAGCAGGAGUGAUUAUCGGACCGGUGCUAUUGGGCUUUUGGGCUUCUAUCGCUUUUAUCGUUAUCGGGCUUUUAGGCCUUUGGCUUUUAUCGUUUAUGUUAUUUCCUAUUUCAGACUUAUACCGUUAUCUAUAUUUCGGAUGUUAUUUUAUAUUAUGGAUUUCCAGCGUGGACGUUGACUUUUAUAUUUAUAAAUAGAGAUUUCAGAAACUAUUAUUUAUCGCAUCAUUUUUAUUAUUAUUUCGAAAGUGACGGGUGUCACAGUUUUGGUAUCAGAGCGGGGUUCCGUCCCGGCUCCGACCCGGGAUGGCGAUUUUGGAGACCUGGUUUUAUUCGGUUUUAUUCGAUUUUAACAGUUUUAGACGAUUUCAAAAUAUUUUUGGGGAUUUGGGAAUUUUGAAAAUGAAAAUAAAUAGCACCUUUCCGUUCGAUAUCACUUCUCCUUAAAUGUUGGUAUCAAAAGUUGAGCGUAAGUUAACAUUUCGCUUUCCUUUCAGAUGCCGCCAAGGAGAAGAACCACCCGUGCCCAGACCACCAGAGCUGUUAGAGACGAUGUAGAUGAGCAUGAGCAGCCCGCAGUUCCGCCACCCGCGGCUCCACCAGUUGAUCAGGAUGCAUUGAGACAGAUGGUUCAGGAUGCCGCUAGACAGGCCGCUCAGGAGGCACUUCAGCAGAUUGCCCAGGAGGCAGCCAGGCAGGCCGCUCAGGAGGCUGCCCGAGUAGCUGCUCAGGAGGUUGCUCGUCAGAUGGCUGCAGUUCAGGCUCCUCAGGUUCAGGUGCAGCAGGGUCCACAGAUUCAGGUUCAGCAAGUUCCACCGGUUCAGGUCCAGCAGGAUCAGCAGAUUCCCGCUCAGCAUGAUCAUCAGGAUCCCGUUCAGCAGGUUCCCCUUCCUCAGGUUCCACUGCAGCACGGACCAGCUCAGCAGUUUGCUCAUGGUGUUCAGGAUCUACCACCACCACCACCGCGACCUCAUGUUUACCCGGUUUAUGAUGAGAGGUUCUACAGGCUGACGCGUCAGAUGAGGAACAUGGAUAUGGAGCAUUUUAGUGGGACAGUGGAUGCUGUAGCUGCACAUGAUUGGAAGUUAGCCUUGCAGCGGAAGCUGGAGAUUAUUGAAUGUCCACCAGAGUUGUCGCUCAGAUUGACUAUGCAGUACCUUCGUGGAGAUGCUCUUAUAUGGUGGGAGGGAAUACGAUUGAGUCACCUUGGGCCAGAGAGGCUUACCUUCGCAGACUUCAUCCGAGAGUUCGAUAGGAAAUACUUUCCGAAGGAAGCUAUGGAUAGGAAGAAAUGCGAGUUCGAGCAUGUAAGCCAGGGUGAGAUGUCUAUCAGGGAGUAUGAGGUUGUGUUUAAUCAACUUCGCAGAUUUGCUGGAGAGGGCAUUUUAGAGGAAGACCUGAUGAGGAAAUUUUUGAAUGGGAUGCGAGUGGAGAUUCGCAACAGGUGCCGUGUCGUCACUUAUCACAGAUUGGGAGAUUUGGUGGAGAAGGCUGCCGAGCAGGAGGCAGGUUUGGCAGAGGAGCAGAAGUACUCCAAGGCAGUUCAGCCUAAGUUUGGAGGGACUUCAGAGGCACAGCAGAGGACAUGGGACAAACCGAGCAUACAGUGCUUUUACUGUGGAAAGAUGGGACAUAAGAGUAGGGUUUGUCGGAGUAGGCUAUUUGAUGCUCAGGUUGCGCCACCAGUCAGACAGAUUGCAGCACCAGCAGCACCAGCAGCGGCACAUGUCUGCUUUGGCUGUGGUCAUCCAGGUCACUUCAUCAGAGAUUGCCCGAGGAGGGGCAAUGCGGCACUUCCACCACCACCGAAGCGUCUAGCCAUCGCUCCACGUGCGUUUGCGGUUGGAGAUCCCCAUGGAGCUGAGCCGAUAGCGGGUAUGUGUUCUUAACAUACUUGCUUGUGUUAAUAUUUGUGGUUUUGUGGUUAUCUUGUAUAGUUCGAGAUUAGUGAAUCUCGUGUAUGAUUGGUUGUGGUUGGUGUGAGUUACCUCACACCUUAUUUGACUUAAGAGCUUUUUAUAGUUUUGUGAGUUCGCGUUUGGUUAAGUUUUAGUUUUUUUUUGGGGGAUCUUCUAACCGAAAUAUAAGCAGAUUCAGAUUGUUGUUAUGGAGAGCUUGGGAACGAUCAAGAUUCAUCGCGAUAUACCUGUUAUCAUUUGAGUAUUAUGAUGGUAUCGUCGAGGUUUUUAUGGUGGGUCUAGUCGUACACCACUUUGUUGGACCAAAGUGGGGGAGAGACGUGAGAUGGAAUCAGCAAUGAUUCAAGAGACGGUAGAGCAAAUGGAAAUGCUCGAAGCUUAGGUUAGGAAGCCCAUGACCGUCAGAAGAGUUACGUGGAUAAGCGCCGUAAGGAUUUGGAUUUUGAAGUUGGCGACCUAAUAAAUCUGAAGGAGGAUGUUUCAAGAAGAAUCAAAGACUCGGAAUCUAAAGAAGCUUAACCAAAAUAUAUGGGAACAUAUCUCUUUAUUGGUCAGCAAGUGAAAUCAGUCUAGGGAGUGGUGACCAUGUAUCUAGUGACCAUGUUGGUCAAGGUUCGUUGGGAGGAAUAGGAUUCAAGAGGAGACCUGAGCCGAGCAAGGAUUAUUAUUCGAGGUUUUGUUACGAUGACAUUGGACAUGUCAGAUUAUAACUUGAAUUCGGGGACGAAUUCCUUAUAAGUGGGGGAGAAUUGUAACGAUCCGAAUUUCGAUCUCGGAACUCGUUAGCCGGCUAAGACCCAAGCAAUACAUCAAGACUAAAAUGUUUGUUUAUAAAUACCUCAUUUUUCACAUUGUUUUCUCCACCUGCAUCAAAAAGAAAUCAGAAAAGUUAGAGAGAAGAAGAAGUGAAAAAGAGAGAGAGUGAGAGAAAAAAAAGAUAGGAACCACUGCAUGCUGCCACCAGGAGUCCUCGCCGGAGCCACCGCACGCCAGGACAUCGUCAAGCUCGUCAUCACCAUCAACCUCAGCUGAGAAUCGUCGGAAACCGCCGCCUCUUAAGCUUUGUUUUCGUCCGUUCAGUAUAUCGGCCAUAUCUUCUUAACCGUUGAGAAUCUCGCGCAUGCAGAGCCACCAUCGUGUUCCUCUCGUCGAGACGAAGCCGUAGCCACCGA
rnacentral:lncRNA from 1 species